rnacentral:rRNA from 1 species
AUGGUGUUAUUAGACGUUGUGUACCUGAGCAUGAACAGGAACAGAUCCUACGCAAGUGCUAUUCCGAGGCUUAUGAAGGACACCAUGCUGGAGAUAGAACUGCACAUAAGGUAUUGCAAUCCGAUUUUUAUUGGCCUACUCUCUUCAAGGAUGCCCGUAAGUUUGUUGUCUUGUGAUGAAUGUCAAAGAAUUAGUAAUAUUAGUAGACGUCAAGAAAUGCCUAUGAAUUAUUCACUUGUUAUUGAACCAUUUGAUGUUUGGGGCUUUGAUUAUAUGAGACCUUUUCCUUCCUUUAAUGGGUAUACACAUAUUUUAGGUGUUGUUGAUUACGUUACUAAGUGGGUAGAAGCUAUUCUAACUAGUAGUGCUGAUCAUAACACCUCUAUUAAGAUGCUUAAAGAAGUUAUUUUUUUGAGGUUUGGAGUCCCUAGAUACUUAAUUACUGAUGGUGGUUCACAUUUUAUUCAUGGUGCUUUUUGUAAAAUGCUUGCUAAGUAUGAUUAA